rnacentral:rRNA from 1 species
GACGAACGCUGGCGGCGUGCCUAAUACAUGCAAGUCGAGCGAAUGACGAGAAGCUUGCUUCUCUGGUUUAGCGGCGGACGGGUGAGUAACACGUGGGCAACCUGCCCUGUAGACUGGGAUAACUUCGGGAAACCGGAGCUAAUACCGGAUAAUCCAUUUCACCUCAUGGUGAAAUGUUAAAAGGCGCAUCUCGCGUCACUACAGGAUGGGCCCGCGGUGCAUUAGCUAGUUGGUGGGGUAACGGCCUACCAAGGCAACGAUGCAUAGCCGACCUGAGAGGGUGAUCGGCCACAUUGGGACUGAGACACGGCCCAAACUCCUACGGGAGGCAGCAGUAGGGAAUCUUCCACAAUGGACGAAAGUCUGAUGGAGCAACGCCGCGUGAGUGAUGAAGGUUUUCGGAUCGUAAAACUCUAUUGUAAGGGAAGAACAAGUACGUUAGGAAAUGAACGUACCUUGACGGUACCUUAUUAGAAAGCCACGGCUAACUAC